AAGUCGUAACAAGGUUAGAUACGUCAGCAUCAACAAACAGUUGAACGCUUUUUGUUGUUUUGAUCCUUCUCACUCGUCACCAUUCAUUUGGUGUCCGCGUGUGGUUCAUUUGCUGAAGCCUUAGCAGCCAGCCGACUCGUCGAGUCGUCGUUGGUGCCCAAUGUGAAAUUAUUUUCGCUCUGUAUGAGAAUAUUGAUAUUAUUCGAACAAUAAACACUACAACUCUUAGCCAUGGAUGUCUUGGUUCUG
rnacentral:misc_RNA from 1 species